GUUUUAACAAACAUAAAAAAUUUGAAGACCACAUUGAGUGCUGGAAUAAAAUAACAAGUGUGAAGUUUGAGGAAAGAACAUUGCACCAGCCUGGUAAAAAAAUGGACAGAAGAACGGAAGAAGGAGCAUUCUGAGAGGAAUGACUGACUGUGGAGAUUUACCCAAACCAGAGAUGAGAGGACUUGGAUUAAAGCAUGCCAAACGUGGCUUUAGCUUUGGUCUGGCACUGGCCAUAGGUGCAGCUCUGUCAUACAAGAUAUUUGUAGCUUCUGCAAGGAAAAGGGAUUUUGCAGAAUUUUACAAGAACUUCGAUCCAGAGGCAGCAGUAGAGCGGAUGGUUGAAGCAGGUGUCCUGCAGUCAGGGAAAUAUGCUGACAAGAAAAAGGGGACAUUCUGGUGACUUAUUCUCUCA